rnacentral:rRNA from 1 species
UGGGGAAUAUUGGACAAUGGGCGCAAGCCUGAUCCAGCCAUGCCGCGUGAGUGAUGAAGGCCCUAGGGUUGUAAAGCUCUUUCACCGGUGAAGAUAAUGACGGUAACCGGAGAAGAAGCCCCGGCUAACUUCGUGCCAGCAGCCGCGGUAAUACGAAGGGGGCUAGCGUUGUUCGGAUUUACUGGGCGUAAAGCGCACGUAGGCGGACUAUUAAGUCAGGGGUGAAAUCCCGGGGCUCAACCCCGGAACUGCCUUAGAUACUGGUAGCCUUGAGUUCGAGAGAGGUGAGUGGAAUUCCGAGUGUAGAGGUGAAAUUCGUAGAUAUUCGGAGGAACACCAGUGGCGAAGGCGGCUCACUGGCUCGAUACUGACGCUGAGGUGCGAAAGCGUGGGGAGCAAACAGG